rnacentral:rRNA from 1 species
GACGAACGCUGGCGGCGUGCUUAACACAUGCAAGUCGAACGGAAAGGCCCUGCUUUUGUGGGGUGCUCGAGUGGCGAACGGGUGAGUAACACGUGAGUAACCUGCCCUUGACUUUGGGAUAACUUCAGGAAACUGGGGCUAAUACCGGAUAGGAGCUCCUGCUGCAUGGUGGGGGUUGGAAAGUUUCGGCGGUUGGGGAUGGACUCGCGGCUUAUCAGCUUGUUGGUGGGGUAGUGGCUUACCAAGGCUUUGACGGGUAGCCGGCCUGAGAGGGUGACCGGCAACAUUGGGACGGAGAUACGGCCCAGACGCCUACGGGAGGCAGCAGUGGGGAAUAUUGCACAAUGGGCGGAAGCGUGAUGGAGCAACGCCGCGUGAGGGAUGACGGCCUUCGGGUUGUAAACCGCUUUCGCCGGUGACGAAGCGUGAGUGACGGUAAUGGGUAAAGAAGCACCGGCUAACUAGGU